CUUGUCUUCUCUUAGGUGCUGCUGUGUUGCUCUUCCAUUCUUCAGGCCCUCAUCUAGUUCACUUUCUUCUUGCCAAAUAUACAAGGGCUCCUUUAGUGGUCUCUUCUUUUUUCCAGAACAAACAGAGGAGUGGGCACAAAAAGAUCAAGGCCAUCUUGUCUGAAGCAGAAGCCCAAGGUGAUAUGUAUAUUCAUCUCUGAAAGACCAAGAGACCUGACUGGACAGGGGAAAACUUGAAUCUUGAAUGCAAGAAAGCAUGUUUGCUCCCUUCAGUGUGAUCAAAGUCAUUUUUCUUUAAAUCACCUCCCUCUCUUCACCUUUAUUCCCUAAACCCCGUCCUCCACUUUACUUUCUUUUCCUAUAGUACAGAUCACCUGUUAACAUACCACAUAAUGUAUUUGGAUUCAUGUUUAUUGCAGAUUAUCUGUCUUCCCCCAGCUAGAAUAUCGAUUCC
ensembl:lncRNA